UUAAGUUUACAAAAUACAAACAAAAAAUAAUAAGAUAUAAAGAUAUAAAAAAUCAAAGAUAAAAAAUUAAAAGAAGUUCAAAAAUGAAAAGGGAUGAGAAAGUAGAAAAAAAAUUAAUUUAGAAAAUACAAGCAAAAAUAAUGUAAUAAGAAAAAAAUAAAAAAAAUCAAAGAUACAAAAAUUAACAGAGGGAAAAGUUAAAACAAAAUAAAAAUAAAAACAAAAUAAGGAAGUGUAAAAAAAAAAAAUGGAAACAAGAAAUAAAAAGAAUUUUGUGAAAAAAAUUAGAAAAACAAGAAAAAAUAAAAAAUGAAGAGGCAAAAAUAUGAAAUAAAACAAAAAGAAAAAAAGUUUUAUAGAAAAUUUUAAAACAAAGAAAAAAGUGAAAACAAAAAAAAAUAUGAAAGCACAUGAAAAAAUAAGUAAAAAAAGGAAAAUUUUAAAAGGAAAAGGAGUUAAUGAAAAAUUAUAAAAAUACAAUAGAAAAUAACCGACAAUGAUAAAUAAAAAAAGAAAAGAAAAAAAGAUAGAAAAAUAAAAA
rnacentral:lncRNA from 1 species